AUCUUGCGCAAUGGGCGAAAGCCUGACGCAGCCAUGCCGCGUGAAUGAUGAAGGUCUUAGGAUUGUAAAGCUCUUUCAGUGGGGACGAUAAUGACGGUACCCACAGAAGAAGCCCCGGCUAACUUCGUGCCAGCAGCCGCGGUAAUACGAAGGGGGCUAGCGUUGUUCGGAUUUACUGGGCGUAAAGCGCACGUAGGCGGAUUGUUAAGUGAGGGGUGAAAUCCCAGGGCUCAACCCUGGAACUGCCUUUCAUACUGGCAAUCUUGAGUCCGGAAGAGGUGAGUGGAACUCCUAGUGUAGAGGUGGAAUUCGUAGAUAUUAGGAAGAACACCAGUGGCGAAGGCGGCUCACUGGUCCGGUACUGACGCUGAGGUGCGAAAGCGUGGGGAGCAAACAGG
rnacentral:rRNA from 1 species